AAAUGGUGUUUUCCACAAUAAAUACGGUAAGCAAUAGAAGUACCUGCAAACAAGAUGUAGGACAUCAAUGGUUUUAUCUUAAUUCAAUUGAAACUUUGACACAGAACCCAGGAACACAGUGAAAGCGCGAAUAAUCUUCCAAAUUUUCAUUUGAUUGGCUAGUGUUAGUCGAGGCCUUUAUGUCUUGCUUUGGUGCCAUGAUAGCAGGGAGAGGAGCUGAUUUUUGUGAUCUUCACUGACUCACCGGGAAAAAAGUUCACACAAAGAGGUGGUCAACUACUCAAUGAGCAUUUUAUAUUUAAAUACACUUCUCCCUUUAAGUACAUGCUGCAGUUCUGUGAACUACUAAC
rnacentral:lncRNA from 1 species